GGGUCGGUGGCGUAGUUGGUUAUCGCAUCUGUCUAACAACCAUCUACAUUGGUGCACAGAAGGUCCUCAGUUCGAACCUGGGCCGACUCA